rnacentral:lncRNA from 1 species
CCGGCGUGUUCAUUUUUAGUUUGUAUAAACGACUGUUAACGUCAUAAUCCAACUACAUUUCUAACGUCUUUACUUUCGCGGACCAUUGCACUUUAGCGUAUGGAAGCAUCGCACUUUAGCGUAUACCAUCGCACUUUAGCGUGUCCAUCGCACUUUAGCGUCCCCAUCGCACUUUAGCGUCCCCAUCGCACUUUAGAGUCCUACAUAUAUAU